AUAGCUCAGCUGGCAGAGCGUUAGACUGAAGAUCUAAAGGUCCCUGGUUCGAUCCCGGGUUCCGGCA
rnacentral:tRNA from 1 species